rnacentral:lncRNA from 1 species
CUUACAUUUAACAUUUUUAAAUAUAUCAUUAUUUUAAACACACAUCAUUAUUUUAAUUAUAUCCAAUUAAAUAUACCUGCAUCUCCUCAGCAUGCAUCAUUAUGUACUUUACUAAAAAGCACUUUGAAUCAAAUUGCAUACCAAGGUUCUUUAUUAUAAUUUAUGUGCACAAGUCUGCAGCAGAGUCACACAUUUUGGAGAUUAAUUAUCAAGAAGUUUGUUUAGACUUUUGGCAAAUGAGAAACUUAACCUGAAUUUCAGUUUACUUUCAUAUUUAUAAUUUCAUGAUAUCAUUGUCCUAUCAGGCACCAUUGUGUUUUUCUGUCUGAGGAGAGUACAGACAAAGACUAGAAGUUAUUUUGGCUUGCCCCAGUCAUUUGUGCCCAGGUCUUUACAUUAUUUAUCUCUUUUGUGUAUUCUUCCAAAUAAUGGUCUCCAAAUUUCCCAUGAUUCAGUCUCAAUCUCAUGGAAAUAAUAUUGCUAGGUUACAGGAACAAAGCUCAUAGUGAUUGCUUUUAUCUCCAUUUGGAAGAUUUUAGUUUCUUUUUCCCAUGGAUCUAUAACCUCUUAUAUUUGUUUUUGUAUCACUGAGGCAUAAGAAAUUCUUAUUACUGGUAUUUGACAAAUGAUGCAAUAUGCAAAGAUUUUUAAACUAGAAUUGGACCUAUAGUAUUUGUGUUCUAGGAAGCUUUCUGCCACUGGUUGCCAUCCCAUCUCCAUGGCUAUUUACAAAAAAACUGAUCUGAAUAAACUAAAAGUGAAGACCUAAUUUUUACCAUUUAUUAUAGGCAAUCAGGUGGUCCAGUUUAAUACUUACCUUUAAUUUUUUUUUUUUAGUUGUAGAUGGACACAAUACCUUUAUUUCAUUUAUUUUUAUGUGGUACUGAGCAUCGAACCUCUUGCCUCACAUAUACCAGACGAGCUCUCUACCACUGAGCCACAACCCCAGCCCUAAUACUGAUAUCUUGACUGCUCCUAUAUCCUAGAUCCUAAAUCCUUGGAUUGACUCUGUGACUUACAUCCUUAACUGUCCUCUCUGUUCUUGGCACAUUUUCUCACUUCCUCCAAUAUUUGAACAGAAGUGUUUCUUUUUCUUUUUUUUUUUUUUUAACUCAGGGGCUCUUGACCAUUGAGCCACAUCCUCAAUCCUAUUUUUUGUAUUUUAUUUAGAGACAGGAUCUCACUGAGUUGCUUAGUGCCUUGCUUUUACUGAGGCUGGCUUGGAAUGUGGGAUCUUCCUGCCUUGGCCUCCUGAGCCACUGGAAUUAUUACAGGUGUGUGGCACUGUGCCCAACCAGAAGUGUUUCUUAUGUAGUUUCUGGAUUGACUUAUUUCUCAGAACCUGGUAUCCCUUGUUUUCUCAAGGGAGGAUGGCUAUUUUCAGAGCAACUCUAUGCUUGUCUCCUCAUAUGCCUCUUCAGAUGGAGGUUAGAAAUUGAAAAUUGGGUAAAUCUUGACCUGGAGUAUAUCAGAUUUUCUAGUCUCAGUUUCAUCAUUUAUACAUGUCAAUCUGGGCUUCUGUAACAAAAUAUUACAAACUGGGUGACUUAUAAACUAUAGAAAUUUAUUUCUGAACAGUUCAGGAGGCUGGGAAGUCAUUGGAGGCUGAGAAGUCACAGACAAAACAUUGGUAGUUUGGUGUAUGGUGAGAGCCCAUAUUCAGGUUUAUAGUUGCUAUCCUCUUGUGUCCUCACAUGGCAGAAGAGGUAAGAGAGCUUUCUGAGAUCUCUUUUAAAAUGGCAAUGAUCCCUCUUAAGAGGGCUCCCUCUCAUGACCAAAUCAUCUCCCAGAAGCUCCCCUCCUAAUACUAUUGCAUUGAGGAAUUGGGGGCAGGGGAUGGAGACAGGGGCUAAACAUGCAAUGUAUAGCAUUACAACUGAGGGAUUUUUACCAGUCAUCUCUAGUGUCCUUUCACUGUUAACAUUACUUUAAUAUUACACAAUUAAUGUAUUACUAUAUUCACAUUGUAAAAGUUUUAGAUAGUAUGUGAGUGUACAGAAAAUGGCUGUAGAGUCCCCUCAG